UCGGCCUAUCAGCUUGUUGGCGGGGUAACGGCCCACCAAGGCAACGACGGGUAGCUGGUUUGAGAGAACGAUCAGCCACACUGGAACUGAGACACGGUCCAGACUUCUACGGAAGGCAGCAGUAGGGAAUCUUGCGCAAUGGGCGAAAGCCUGACGCAGCGACGCCGCGUGCGGGAUGACGGCCCUAGUGGUUGUAAACCGCUUUCAGCAGGGACGAAAAUGACGGUACCUGCAGAAGAAGUCCCGGCUAACUACGUGCCAGCAGCCGCGGUAAUACGUAGGGGACAAGCGUUGUCCGGAUUCAUUGGGCGUAAAGAGCUCGUAGGCGGUUCAGUAAGUUGGGUGUGAAAGCUCCGGGCUCAACCCGGAGAGGCCACUCAAUACUGCUGUGACUAGAGUCCAGUAGAGGAGCGUGGAACUCCUGGUGUAGCGGUGAAAUGCGCAGAUAUCAGGAAGAACACCGGCAGCGAAGGCGGCGCUCUGGGCUGGUACUGACGCUGAGGAGCGAAAGCAUGGGUAGCAAACAGGAUUAGAUACCCUGGUAGUCCAUGCCGUAAACGUUGGGCACUAGGUGUGGGGAGGAAUCAACCCUCUCCGUGCCGUAGCUAACGCAUUAAGUGCCCCGCCUGGGGAGUACGGA
rnacentral:rRNA from 1 species